rnacentral:rRNA from 1 species
AGUGAACGCUGGCGGUAGGCCUAACACAUGCAAGUCGAACGGCAGCACAGUAAGAGCUUGCUCUUACGGGUGUCGAGUGGCGGACGGGUGAGUAAUACAUCGGAAUCUACUUUUUCGUGGGGGAUAACGUAGGGAAACUUACGCUAAUACCGCAUACGACCUACGGGUGAAAGCAGGGGAUCUUCGGACCUUGCGCGAUUGAAUGAGCCGAUGUCGGAUUAGCUAGUUGGCGGGGUAAAGGCCCACCAAGGCGACGAUCCGUAGCUGGUCUGAGAGGAUGAUCAGACACACUGGAACUGAGACACGGUCCAGACUCCUACGGGGGGCAGCAGUGGGGAAUAUUGGACAAUGGGCGCAAGCCUGAUCCAGCCAUACCGCGUGGGUGAAGAAGGCCUUCGGGUUGUAAAGCCCUUUUGUUGGGAAAGAAAAGCAGCAGGUUAAUACCCCGCUGUUCUGACGGUACCCAAAGAAUAAGCACCGGCUAACUUCGUG